GAAAAGAGCUCAAAGUUGGAACCUGUUUGGCUUAGCUAAACNGGAUUGUAAACUGUAGAAACGUUUUCCUGGCACGCCANAUAAAUAAGUCCUUUGGAACAGGGCAUCAUAGAGGGUGAGAAUCCCGUCUUUGGUCUGAGCUGUUGUCUUUUGUGAUACGUUUUCAAAGAGUCAGGUUGUUUGGGAAUGCAGCCUAAAUUGGGUGGUAAAUCUCACCUAAAGCUAAAUAUUUGCGAGAGACCGAUAGCGAACAAGUACCGUGAGGGAAAGAUGAAAAGAACUUUGAAAAGAGAGUUAAACAGUAUGUGAAAUUGUUAAAAGGGAACCGUUUGGAGCCAGACUGGCUUGAUCGUAAUCAAUCUAGGUUUCGACCUGGAUGCACUUGCGGUCUAUGCCUGCCAACGACAGUUCUUUCUGAAGGAUAAAACUAGGAGGAAUGUGGCCCCUCGGGGUGUUAUAGCCUCUUAGAUAAUACUUUGGAUGGGACUGAGGAACGCAGUGAAUGC
rnacentral:rRNA from 1 species